rnacentral:tRNA from 2 species
GCUAGCGUAGCUUAACUCAAAGCAAAGCUCUGAAGAUGCUUAGAUGGCGUCCGCCCGCGCCCGCAAGCA